UACGAAGGGAGCGAGCGUUAUCCGGAUUUAUUGGGUGUAAAGGGUGCGUAGGCGGUUUAAUAAGUCUGUGGUUUAAGUCCGAAGCUUAACUUCGGUUCGCCACAGAAACUGUUUUACUUGAGUAUGGUAGAGGCAAGUGGAAUUUCUAGUGUAGCGGUUAAAUGCGUAGAUAUUAGAAGGAACACCAGGGGCGAAGGCGACUUGCUGGGCCAUCACUGACGCUGAGGCACGAAAGCGUGGGGAGCAAAUA
rnacentral:rRNA from 1 species